CUCUUGAGUUUGGGCCAUGGUAAAAAAGUCCUCAAGUGGGCCUUGACCUUUUGAUCUUAAAUUAGUUGUAGUAAAAAUGCCACAAGUCGCAGUUAUGUACACUAAUGUAAAAACUACAUUAGAUGCAAUGGUAUAGAGCUAUGUUCAGAUAUGAUAAGGCUGGGGAACAACCAAGUUCCAAAAUUUCAAUUAUGAAUAGAGGAGUUCAAAUUUUUGUCGUGCAUUAAGAGUUCUUAUGCAUUCACAAAGUUAAACAAGGCAUCAUCACAUACGUGCAUCUUAUAUAAAGUUGGAUUUCUAUAUAUAUCCAAUUUUUGCAACUCAACAUGAAUAACACUAACUCUAUUUAGUCUUUCAAAAUAAUUUACAUGGAAUGUUUUGCAAGAUGUCAUUUUAAAAUUUUUCUUGCACUCCAU
rnacentral:lncRNA from 1 species